GAGUUUGAUCCUGGCUCAGAACGAACGCUGGCGGCAGGCCUAACACAUGCAAGUCGAACGCUCGUAGCAAUACGGGAGUGGCGCACGGGUGAGUAACGCGUGGGCACCUGCCCGGUGGUCCGGAAUAACCGCGGGAAACUGCGGCUAAUACCGAAUACGCCCUUAGGGGGAAAGAUUUAUCGCCAUCGGAUGGGCCCGCGUAGGAUUAGCUAGUUGGUGAGGUAACGGCUCACCAAGGCGACGAUCCUUAGCUGGUCUGAGAGGAUGAUCAGCCACACUGGGACUGAGACACGGCCCAGACUCCUACGGGAGGCAGCAGUGGGGAAUAUUGGACAAUGGGGGCAACCCUGAUCCAGCCAUGCCGCGUGAGUGAUGAAGGCCUUCGGGUUGUAAAGCUCUUUUGGCGGGGACGAUGAUGACGGUACCCGCAGAAUAAGCCCCGGCUAACUUCGUGCCAGCAGCCGCGGUAAGACGAAGGGGGCUAGCGUUGUUCGGAAUUACUGGGCGUAAAGGGCGCGUAGGCGGUCUUGUUAGUCAGGCGUGAAAGCCCUGGGCUCAACCUGGGAUGUGCGCUUGAUACUGCGAGGCUUGAGUGCAGGAGAGGAUGGUGGAAUUCCCAGUGUAGAGGUGAAAUUCGUAGAUAUUGGGAAGAACACCGGUGGCGAAGGCGGCCAUCUGGACUGCAACUGACGCUGAGGCGCGAAAGCGUGGGGAGCAAACAGGAUUAGAUACCCCGGUAGUCCUGGCCCUAAACGAUGAAUGCUUGGUGUAACGGGUAUCGAUCCCUGUUGUGCCGAAGC
rnacentral:rRNA from 1 species